rnacentral:rRNA from 1 species
AGAGUUUGAUCCUGGCUCAGAUUGAACGCUGGCGGAAUGCUUUACACAUGCAAGUCGAACGGCAGCACGGGAGCUUGCUCCUGGUGGCGAGUGGCGAACGGGUGAGUAAUACCUAGGAACAUGUCCAGUAGUGGGGGAUAACGCAGCGAAAGCUGUGCUAAUACCGCAUACGCCCUACGGGGGAAAGCGGGGGAUCGUAAGACCUCGCGUUAUUGGAGUGGCCUAGGCCUGAUUAGCUAGUUGGUGAGGUAAAGGCUCACCAAGGCGACGAUCAGUAGCUGGUCUGAGAGGAUGAUCAGCCACACUGGAACUGAGACACGGUCCAGACUCCUACGGGAGGCAGCAGUGGGGAAUUUUGGACAAUGGGGGAAACCCUGAUCCAGCCAUUCCGCGUGAGUGAAGAAGGCCUUCGGGUUGUAAAGCUCUUUCAGAAGGGAAGAAACGGUUGCAGCUAAUACCUGCGACUAAUGACGGUACCUUCAGAAGAAGCACCGGCUAACUACGUGCCAGCAGCCGCGGUAAUACGUAGGGUGCGAGCGUUAAUCGGAAUUACUGGGCGUAAAGCGUGCGCAGGCGGUUUUGUAAGUCAGAUGUGAAAGCCCCGGGCUCAACCUGGGAACUGCGUUUGAAACUACAAGGCUAGAGUGUAGCAGAGGGGGGUAGAAUUCCACGUGUAGCAGUGAAAUGCGUAGAGAUGUGGAGGAAUACCGAUGGCGAAGGCAGCCCCCUGGGUUAACACUGACGCUCAUGUACGAAAGCGUGGGGGAGCAAACAGGAUUAGAUACCCUGGUAGUCCACGC